UACGUAGGGUGCAAGCGUUGUCCGGAAUUAUUGGGCGUAAAGAGCUCGUAGGCGGUUUGUUGCGUCGGCUGUGAAAACCCAGGGCUCAACCCUGGGCCUGCAGCCGAUACGGGCAGACUAGAGUUCGGCAGGGGAGACUGGAAUUCCUGGUGUAGCGGUGAAAUGCGCAGAUAUCAGGAGGAACACCGGUGGCGAAGGCGGGUCUCUGGGCCGAUACUGACGCUGAGGAGCGAAAGCGUGGGGAGCGAACAGG
rnacentral:rRNA from 1 species